AACGUAGGUGGCGAGCGUUAUCCGGAUUCAUUGGGCGUAAAGAGCUUGUAGGUGGCGGCGUAAGUUGGACGUGAAAUCGCCCGGCUCAACCGGGCGGGGUCGUUCAAUACUGCGCGGCUGGAGGAGGUCAGAGGGAAGUGGAAUUCCUGGUGUAGCAGUGAAAUGCGUAGAUAUCAAGAGGAACACCUGAGGUGAAGACGGGUUGCUGGGCCGACACUGACGCUGAAGCGCGAAAGCCAGGGGAGCAAACGGG
rnacentral:rRNA from 1 species